ACAAACUAGGGUUUCUCUCAUCUCUCAUUUGGUCCGCCGCUCAUCCUCUCAUCCUCUGCUCUCUCUCUAUGGCGAUUGCUAUAUGGCGACUUCAUCAUCAGGCCUCUCUCUCGGAUCUUGCCAGAUCUCUCACCAGAUCUGUGAGGAUUUCACCAGAUCGAUGAAGAUUCUUUCAGUUGUUGGACUUCUUCAAGACGAUAUGGACCCCAUGGUCUCUGUGAUGAAAGUCGAGAAGGCACCUUUAGAGUCUUAUGCUGAUAUUGGUGGGCUGGAUGCCCAAAUACAAGAAAUCAAGGAGGCAGUUGAGCUUCCUUUAACUCACCCUGAGUUAUAUGAAGACAUCGGUAUUAAACCUCCAAAGGGCGCUAUACUUUACGGAGAACCGGGAACAGGCAAGACAUUGCUUACAAAGGCUGCAACAAACUCCACAUCAGCAACGUUCUUACGUGUUGUUGGAAGUGAGUAAAUUCAAAAGUAUCUUGGGGAUGGUCCUAAGCUGGUCAGAGAACUCUUCAGGGUUGCUGAUGACCUAUCUCCGUCUAUUGUUUUCAUCGAUGAAAUUGACGUUGUUGGUACAAAGAGAUACGAUACCCACUCUGGCGGUGAACGUGAAAUUCAAAGGACUAUGUUGGAGUUAUUGAACCAGUUGGAUGGUUUUGAUUCGAGAGGUGAUGUUAAGGUGAUACUUGCAACUAACAAAAUUGAAAGUCUUGAUCCGGCUUUGCUACGUCCUGGUCGUAUUGAUAGGAAGAUAGAGUUCCCGCUUCCCGACAUUGAUCAUGAUGGGAAUUAUAGUUGCUGGUCUUGAUGGUGAUUAUGUAAGAGAAUAAAGAAAUGAUGGGUCUGCUGGUCUGGUGACACUACGUCAGAGGAAGAUGUAAAGGAAUAGAGUGUUGAUUCAAGAGGCAAACAAAUGGGCGUGAAGCAUCCAAAGUUGAAUCUGAUGAGAGGGGGACGCCAGCUGGCACCAUUGGUGAUAUGCAACCGACAGGUGCCAGUCAACUUGAUCGGAUCAUUCAAGAUGAUGAAACUACCGACCCAACAAUUGACGAAAAUCCAGCCCAACAAUUGCCGAAAAUCCAACCCUUACUGUGCUGAAAAUCCAACCCUUAACUAUAUAGUCUGUUAUGUUUAACAGGUCAAAGGGGAGCCAAGUAUUGGUGCAACCGAGUACACAAUUGCAAUUGAUAUUUUGUCUCUAGGUUGUGUUCUUGCAGAGUUAUAUCGUGAACAGGUCCUUGGCAGUCCAACUGAUGAAGAAGUUAUAGGCAUGAACCCAGACUUCCAAGGCUUUGAGCACCUCCCACAUAGCAAGGCUCAACCGUGACACAAAAUUUUCCACAAGUGGAUGCCCCCAAAAGAAGCUAUAUAUCUUGUUUCAAGACUCCUCCAGUAUUCCAAACUUGAGAUGCACUGCUCAGCAAGGGAGAGAGAGAGAGAGAUGGUCUUGAUUCUUCAAUGAUCCCAUUUAACUAUUUGAGGGCUUCAUAAUCACAUGGGUACAGGUGCUCCGCUGACCUCUAAGGCCGCUCACCGUUGUUUGGGGAGUCGCCUGCUUUUGUGCUUCUCAGAAUCUUAUGUGACAAGACAUCUAAGGUAACCAACAUAAACACUCAUAAGCUAUUCAGUGAAGACCCUCAACGACAACAUGAUAAGGUAAAGCAUCGGUGGUUAAAGUUGUUUUUGGUGCGCAUCAUCAACAAUCAUGGAGGCAAAGCAUUGGUAUGUUGUACAUUAGUUAGUAAAAGUGGUACAUAUGAAUGUUGUAAUCCAGAAUUAUCAUGGAGGUUUGUCAAUGUAUUUGUAAAGUUAUUAUGAUGGAAAUUUAAAAUUAAUUUUUAAUGUAUUUAUAUACUAAUAUGCAAGAUCUGUGAAUGGUUCCAUCUGCAAGGAAUUGGGAGGGCAACAAGAUGUUGGUGGCAUCUUAGUUGGUGGAGCUUCUCUCAAGGUAGGGAGCAACAACUUCCAAGUUCGUCUUUACUAUUCAGGUAGUAUGCAAACAGAGGUGAGCAUUUGAAUCUCAAGUGUGCUGAAAAGACCAGAAUUUUGGUGCCCAAAGUUAAGAUAGCAUGAAGAAUAGAUUACCUUGCUGGUAUAGAAGAUGUGAAAAAGUUAUAUAUUCAGCUUCAUCUGAGUUAGCUGAAAAGGAAUGCACCUACGAAACAUACAAGACAUGUAUUGUUAGCAAGUUUUAGGUACCCUUGCGUUUACGUUUCUAUUAAAAUUCGCUAGAACUCACCGCAAAGCACGGGUGAACCCACUAAAGGAUUGAUAAAGUAACAAGGACCAGUUUCGCGUUGUAAAUUGUUGCCGCAAAGCACGGGUGAACCCACUUAAGGAUUUACAUGAGACCGCGAAGAUGGUAGCUGAUAAGACGAUGCGAACAGCGCAAGGGUCCAGCGCAAGGGCCGUUUUAAAGUCUUUUCUGCAGAUCAUAAUCCAAAGGCUUUAGCCUUCAAUUCGAGUGGUAUUACCAUUCCCCCAGUAUCAAGCGUGUCAGCUGCUUCAGUUAUUCCAUACUUGCAAUCCCUUUUGCACCAUCAUAAUACUCAACGCGAUGAACUACUUAAGUUAAUAAAGCUUUCAGAGCAAAGUUAAGCCGUAAAGCAAACACCAUUCAGAGUUGUCUGUCAGAGAGCUUGCUUUUUACAUGCAGCCGUAAAGCAAUAACUAUUCAGAGUUGUCUAACAUGGAGCAUGCUUGGAAGUUUAUAAAUUCAACAUCAAGCUCAACACUCUACAGCCACCGUUUCGCCACCCCAUGUCAUACAAAUUUCCAGACAUUAUCUUAUACGUUUAGUAUAGAUACACCGUAGUUUAAUAGAUGUACACAAAAUUUCUUAAUUACUUUUCCAUCACGCAACCAUUUGAUAUCACCUUUUCAAAA